rnacentral:rRNA from 1 species
CCCUUAGAUGUUCUGGGCCGCACGCGCGCUACACUGAUGCAUUCAACGAGCCUAUCCUUGACCGACAGGUCCGGGUAAUCUUUGAAUCUGCAUCGUGACGGGGAUAGAUUAUUGCAAUUAUUAAUCUUCAACGAGGAAUGCCUAGUAGGCGCAAGUCAUCAGCUUGCGUCGAUUACGUCCCUGCCCUUUGUACACACCGCCCGUCGCUCCUACCGAUUGGGUGUGCUGGUGAAAUGUUAGGAUCGGCCGUUUGCCGCGGUUUCCGCGGCUCGUGGCUGAGAAGUUCAUUAAACCCUCCCACCUAGAGGAAGGAGAAGUCGUAACA